GUUUCUUAUGCACUGCUUCAUUCCUUAUAUAACUGCAACAGCCAAGAGUGGCUCAGGCCACAGAGGAACCUGAAACUCAAUCUGUUUCACCCACAUGGGUGGCAGGGAUCCCACUACUUUAGCCAUCAUCUGCUGCCUUCCAAGGUUGCACUGUAGCAGGAAUCUAGAACCAGGAGCAGAGUCAGGACUCAAACCUCUGCACUCUGAUAUGGGACACAGGCAUCCCAAUGGGGUCUUCUGUACCAAAUGUCUGCUCCUCCAUGAAUUUUUGAAGUAUACUGUACAUGGGCAGGGGUCUCAGAUGGAUAAUUUACUUUCAAAUAUUUGAGAAAUAAACAAUCAGAUGUAUGAGUGUUUGACUUUCUGCAAAUUACCUCUUGUAGAAGCCCCUGGACUACAGGUGGAAGGCAAAUGAAUUCCGGCCAGUCCUUUCUAGAUGAUUGCCCCACACUUUGAAGUCAUUGAACUAUGAUGGCUUCCAUGUCCUGCUAACACCUGUCAGUCUUCCCCUAUCUGUCCCACUGUUAACAGUUAAAACUAAUUUCAUUUCCCUAUAUUUAUAUUAUUAUUUACCAUCUAAAUGAAUAGAUUGAUAUCCCUUGGAUCAUUAACAUUCUCUGUCAGGCCCCUUGGGGAACAUUUCUUUUUCUGACAACACCACUUGCUAAGUUUUCUCCUCUGAGCUGUAAGGGCAUAUGUUCCACCUGGAGGAGGAUUUCAUUCCCUGUUUUUAAAACCUGCCCCUCCCAGGCGUUCCUUGGAGAGAUGGUCCCCUCCGCCACUUUGAGGUUCAGGGGCAGUCUCAGGCUACUCCCUUGAGGCCAUCAGAAGAUGCUGUGACUCAUGGAUUAUUGUAUGCUCAAGUCAGCUUGUGGGAGUCAUAUUUGUUGUAUGCAAGCAACAAAGGUGAAUUAUUGAACUAACAGCUUCCUCAGGUACGGGCUGUGCAGUGUGAUCAAUUAUGUAUAAUGUUCACUCAGGCAAGAAAUGAAAUGAAGUGACUAUAAGCUGGAGUGCUCCAAGGCUGCUGGAACUAUUUCCCCUUCAAACAUGGGAGAGCACGUUGGCCACUUUGUAGUGCCUUGCACUUGCUCAUGUGGCUGUACGGAUGAGAGGGACACCUGACUUGUCAGGGGAAGGUGAUAUACUCACCUCUGUUUUGAUUUGAUGUGGUGCUGUCUCUCCAAGUCCUGUGGUAAACUUUGUCUGAUUUUUCUUGUCCCUCAUAAAUAAUGCAUGGCAAGUAGCAAUAAUAGCAAUAAUAAUAACUACCACUAUUGACUGUGUUAGGUGUAUAACUCUGGGUGUGAGUAUGGCAUUAAAUCCUCAUAAUGAGUCUAUGAGGUAGGCACUAUCAUAAACCCAUUAUCCAGUGGAUGAAAUAGGGCCUCAGAAAGGUUGUAUGGCUGGGAAUGGGGAAAGUCCAGGCUGCCUGGCCCUGAAGCUUCAUGCUAUUAACCACAUCAUACUGCUUUUGGGCACGUUAGACAUUUUAAUUAUUGUUGGUUGAGUGAAUAAAUGGAUGCACGAAUAAAUGUGAGAGUCAAUGGCCUCUCAGGGGAGAUAUGAAAGCCAAAUGCCCUCUCUAAAAAUGGAAGUGGGGUUUGUAUCCUGUUUAAAUCCUGAAGAGAGAGGGAGGCAGCUGCUCCUUGGUCACUGACCAUCUGCUCUCUGAAGAUGUACUGGUUUAGACUCAGCUCUGGCGCAAGACCAUCCUGUUCACCAAUGUGUCCCAGCAUAAAUCAGGAGUUGAAAAUAUUUGAAUGAACAUGAUGAUGCUUAUCAAAGCAGCUACUGGUUUCUGGAACAAAAAGCUGAAUAAACACAUUUGCGCCAGUGAUUGGAAAGAGAGCAAAACAAUGGGAGAUGAGGAGACGAAAGGGGAACGGCAGGAGGAAUCUGAAAAUGAUGCUUGCACAGAGCUUCUGGGAGCAAAGGCACUGAGCUCUGGGUCCCUUACUUUAUCUACCUCCCCCCAGCUCUGGCCCACGAAGGACAAAUGCCAUCAACUUGCUCCUUGGACAUUCAGGAAAGUCUACUGUCAGGCCGUAAGUGAUGUUUGGCUCAUUUAUCUCCUUUUUUCCUUUCCUUGCAUUUUUCUUUUUAAUUUAAAAAAUGUCCUAGUGUAUAAACCCAUUCAAAAGCUGUAAAUACGUAAUUUCCAUACUCAGAGAUAUAUUUGGAACGCUGGGUAAUGCCAUGUGACAAAAAAUAUGGCCCAUUUGAGAGUUUUUUUUUUUUUUAAGAAAAUUUCCUUUCUUUCUUUAUAUUGGGGUGGAGACUGAUGGUAACAUGUCAGUGGGCUUUUUGCAGAGUCCAUGUCUCAUGAAAAGAUGUGGGUUUUUGAUUUUUAACAUACUAAACAAAACACACGUGGAGCAUAUCUGCUGUCAAUUUCACAUGGUUUUUCUAUUGAACAAGGGUUCACAAGUUUGGUAGAGCAUCUUGGGAGUUUGGUUGACCACAGAGUAUCUGAAAUAUGUUUUUAGCUGUUUUGCCCAACCUGCUUUGUCAUAGUUAAUUACUAGUCAUUAAUCUUCUUGUCUUUGGAGUGAGAAGAAGAGUAGGUGUCACAAGUACUUUGACCUUAAGAAGUCUAGAGUUUUCAUAAUUGUCAUUUUUGGCUGCUGUUGUGAAUUUUUCCUUGGCAACAAAUUUGGAGUAGGAUGUGUAUAGCUUUACUAAGAUUUGAUGCUUGUAUCUCUUUCAUGUUUACUUUCUGAAUGCUAUUCAUGAUAGUCAUUCAAAUAUUUCGGUCAUGUUCACUUAGUUCUCACUUUUACAAACUGAGUAUCAAGUGCCUAUUUUGUGGGAGUGUUGUAGUAGGUGGCUAGCUAGUCUGAUGUACACUUCGUGGUCAGUUCAUGUUUCCCUGCUGUCUCAGAUAUGCCAAGCCAGCUCAGGCCUGGGCUCGUGUGCACAGUGUGCUCCUAGACAGGAAAGGCCAAACCACAGGAGGGAAAGUAAGGAUGUCCAUGCACUCUGUAUGCACUAGGCACUCAAUAAAUGCCUAUUAAGCAAUCAAGUGACUACAGUAGUGAGCGGGAUUCAUGAAAAAACAAUUAAAGGAAACAGUCACACUGUUUAUACAUCAGACAUAAUUAUGUCCCUCAGUCCCAUAUCCUGGGGUUUUUCUGUUGAUGUGCUAGUAGCAAUGGUAUCUUGCACCAGUAGUGGACAGAAUUGGCUAUGAAUCCUGCCUCCACUAUAUUUAACUGUGGACUCUGACAAGUAAUUAAUCUCUCUGAGUCAGGGUACUCACAAAACAGGUAGUGCUCCAUAGCACUGUGUGAAAAUUCAACAAGCUUACUCAGAACACAGUUCUCCCCCCAACCUUGGAAGGCCUCUACUAGAUGCCUAAUAAAUGUUAGUUGCCUUCUUCCUCCUCUCCUCUUCCUCUCUUCCUUUUCCCCCUCUUCCGGCAUCCUCACAAGUAAAUUAGGAAUAAGUGUUGUACCCUUAUCUGUGGAACUAUCAUUGAAACUAACUGUAAAAUCCCGAGACUUGUGCCUUCUCGCACACAUCAAGUGCUGCAUUUAGCUGAUGUUAACUUUAUCUCACACAGCAUGUUGGUGGUACAGACAGGGCAGGGCAAGUCUAUAUAAACAUCUUUUCCUGAUUUGGAUCCAGGAAAGAAAUACAAAUAAAAGGAAAUAAAUAGCUUAUGUAACUUAGCUGCUUUUUUCUUUUAGGCCAUUUGGUUUUUUGGUUGUCUUUCUGAGGCAUUUCAAACUUGGUCAGCUUAACUUGGAAAUAUUUAAAUAAAAGCAUUUUCCAUCUUGUCCUGGCCAGGCUAUCUCUUCUAGGACUGGUCCAAGAUGCUACUGAUAUCCCCAGGCCAGAGAAGCAAUUCAUUGAUUUAAACAUGUUGUUUAAAACUCUGAUACAAAGACACAAAUGAAGAAAAGAUGCCUGGAGUCCACAAGCCGUGGCCUGAACGAAUUCCAUGCGCAUGACCUGAACAUUUGAACCCUUGUUGUGUAGGAUUUUUCGUACAUGUUUCAUGGUGUGGCUUCACCUGCAGGUGCUUCAACAUGGCGACAUCAUUGUUACCGUCACGUGGGUGAAAUGCAAAGUGAGGAUUGAACUGGAGUUCCUGGUUGCAUUUUUUUCCAGGUUGUAUGAUCUUGGACAAAACGUGACAACUCCGGGCAAAACUCUGUCUUCUCAUAGACCUGCAAGGAAGAACCCUGGAACUGAAACUCAUGGCUUUCUGAUUGAUGAUGUACACCCAUCACCAAGGAGUAAGGAUGAUUGUCGCUCCCCCUCUUCGUGGAGGAACGACACAGAACCCUGCCUAGGCUUCAUAUCCGAGUCACGGCACCAUUAUGUCGCUCCCCGUCUUUGUGGAGGAACGACACAGGACCCUGCGCUGUUCUUUCGUCUGCUCGGCCCUCCCCGGGUUUGCUGCUGGUUCUUCCCGGGUUGGCUACCGUCCCUUCCACCUCCGUGGAAGGGCGGUUCCCCCUGCCACAUUCCCCACUUCCGCGGGGGAGCGGCACACCACCGGCCGGCUCUCUCGGGGGCUGCACAGGUGUUCCUUCAGAUAGAUGUUCCUGGUGCAUGUUGUCUCUCUCCUCCUUUAUAGUCCUCUUCCACCAAUCCCAACUCUGCUACCCACACGCCGAGUACGCUGCUCUCCUCCAAUCAGGAGUAGGUCCUACAGUUUAUUGGUUGAACUGGAGGCAGCUGUGUAGAAGCUGUUUCUCCUCUCCCAGCGCCAUAUUGUGGGAGAGCAGAUGCAUAGAAUAAGUCUUAAUUCCAGUAACUUAGUCUAGUCCGAGUUGCUCCCAAUUGCUCCCCACAGAUGAUUUUUACUCAGUCUAUUGAUUCAAAUGCGGCUCUCUCCCAGAAAUGCCCUCACAGGCACACCCAGGUGUUGUUUGAUCAGCUAUCCAGACAUCCCAUGGCCCAUUCAAGUUGAUACAUCAGGUAGCACAGAAUCAGUUAGGUCCACUUAGGUAAGAAAGUGGGACAAAGGUGUUAAGACUCAAGCCUGGACCUGCCUGUUUCUGUGUUCUCUUUAUUCCUUGGUAAAGCUAAAAUCUUCCUAUUCAGGAUAUUUUCAGCCUGGCAGAAAGAGGACUGUCCUCUCGGGGGGACAGAGGGGACUCUCAGGGCUUCUAUCCCAGGGCAAAGGAAGACACAGCACACACACACACCAGCAUUGGUUCCAUGUUCCUGGCUUGAGAGAGAAGCUUUUUAAAAUCUGAGGGAAGCCAGCGCCGCAGCUCACUAGGCUAAUCCUCCGCCUUGCAGUGCCGGCACACUGGGUUCUAGUCCCGGUCGGGGCACCGGAUUCUGUCCUGGUUGCCCCUCUUCCAGGCCAGCUCUCUGCUGUGGCCCAGGAAGGCAGUGGAGGAUGGCCCAAGUGCUUGGGCCCUGCACCCCAUGGGAGACCAGGAAAAGCACCUGGCUCCUGGCUCCUGCCAUCGGAUCAGCGCGGUGCGCUGGCCGCAGCGGCCAUUGGAGGGUGAACCAAUGGCAAAGGAAGACCUUUCUCUCUGUCUCUCUCUCACUGUCCACUCUGCCUGUCAAAAAAAAAAAAAAAGAUCUGAGGGAAAGAAUAUUUACCCGUGGCCAAAGAAACAUGCUAUUGAAGCUGUGUUGAUAAAAUUACUGCUAUGGGAGAUCAACUUCUGUCCAGAGGCAGAGUUGUGGGGGACUGUGGGGGGCUGUGGGGGGGCGGCUCUUGCAUCUUCUCUUUUACAACUGCUUCUGAUAACUUCCUUUAACUCAAGGGAAAUGUUCACUGACUCUCUGUGCCUCAUGACAUAUGACACGUUCAUUAUGAAGAUAAAUGUGAAGGUCCCAUUUGGAUACAGAUCACAUUUGACUAUAAAAUGGCAUUGGCAUCAGUUUUGUUGUUAUUAAUAACAGCACUAAUUUGGUUACCAAAGAACCCAAACUCCCUCUGAUGAAUUUGAUAGACAAUUUUUCUGUUUUAUUAUUAAUAUUGUAUAAGUAAUUUAUAUUCCUUACAAAAGACAUGAGCAGUACAAAGUAAUAAAAAAUCACUUAUAACUCACUUUCCAGGUGUAAAAAAAAAUAUUUUGUUGUAAAUUCAUCUCUCAUGUUUCUCUCCCAUGUGUGUCUAGCUAUGCAUGUGUGCAUGUGUGUGUUAAUAUGUGUGAAACUAGAAAAAUGGUAUCAUUCUCCAUUCUUUUGUAGCUCUCUUGUUAAUAGAGUGAUUCAUUGUGAACAAUUUUUCAUUUCAAUAAAAUGUAUUUAAUCUCAUCUUUAAGUGGCUGAAUUAAUAUCCCAUUGUGUCUGCAUACCAUAAUUUGUCCCAAUAUUUUUUAUUAUUGGAUUUUUAAAAAGAUUUAUUUAUUUGUUUAAAAGGCAGAGUUACAAAGAGGCAGAGGCAGAGGGAGAGAGGUAUUCCAUCUGCUGGUUCACUCCCUAUAUGGCCGCAGCAGCUGGUACUGCACUGAUCCAAAGCCAGGUGCUUCUUCCAGGUCUCUCAUGCUGGUUCAGAGGUCCAAGGACUUUGGCCAUCUUCUAUUGCUUUUCUAGGCCAUAGCAGAGAGCUGGAUCAGAAGUGGAGCAGCCAGGACUCAAACCGACAGUCAUAUGGGAUGCCAGCACUGCAGGUAGCGGCUUUACCCGCUACCCCAUAGUGCCGGCCUCAAGGGUCUUUUAAAAUAGUCGUAAUCCUCUACAGUGCUGCAGGAACACCUUUGACUGGCUCAUCUGAAGCUCUCCUAGAAGCAGCAUGAUGAGCCAGGGAGUAUGCGCACUUUAUGGUUCAAGAUGCAGAGGCCAGCCCUCACUCCAGAAGGCUGUCCAUCUGCUGCACAAACCACAGAACCUGGAAAAGCUGGUUUCCUCACAGCCUCACCAAUCAGGCAUUUCCAUUCUCUUUAAACUUUGCCAACUUGACAGGCAUAAAAUGAUAAAAUGUAUCAACUUGGAUUUCUUGCUUAGUGGUGGGCUUAAAUAUCUUUUUCAUGUAUUUCUCAGUAAUUUUAUUUUGUGUUUUGUAAAUUGCCCAUAUAUGUUCUUCGUUAUUUUUGCUUUAUCUAAUGUUUCUUGAAAAAGCAAUAUGUAUUCUGCCUUGUUUCAGAACACAGUUUUGGAUUUCCUUAAAAUUUGAUUUCUUCCUUAGAAUUUUUCCUCAUGGAAGAAAGGCAUGCAAUGAUUUUUUUUGACAGAGAGAGAGAGAGAGAGAGACAGAGAGAAAGGUCUUCCUUUUUUCCGUUGGUUCACCCUCCAAUGGCCGCUGCGGCUGACGCACUGCGCUGAUCCGAAUCCAGGAGCCAGGUGCUUCCUCCUGGUCUCACAUGCAGGUGCAGGGCCCAAGGACUUGGGCCAUCCUCCACUGCACUCCUGGGCCACAGCAGAGAGCUGGACUGGAAGAGGAGCAAUCAGGACAGAAUCCAGUGCUCCAACCGGGACUAGAGCCUGGGGUGCUGGCGCCACAGGCGGAGGAUUAGCCUAUUGAGCCAUGGUGCUGGCUGCAUGCAAUGAUUUUAAGAAGUGAAAAAAAAAAAAAACAAAACUACAGGCAACAAAAUAUCCACAAGCUAUAUAUAUAUAUAUAUUUUCUAGUAUUUUAUUCUACAAUUUUAAAAUCUUCUCUCUUACCCCAACCCUUGCCAUGAUCUUCCAUUUUUAGUGUGAGUCCAAGGAUAAAUAGACAACCUAACUUUUAUGCUUAGUUUGAGGUCUAGAAUCUUCCAUAAAAUAAUUCGCUUAUCUGUGCUUGUGGAUAAGUGGAAGAUUGAGUAUAAGCAAUGGUAGUUGGAAGAUGCCUGUUUAUAUCAAUGCCUACAGGGCUUCUGCAACCCAAGCAUUUUUUUUUAAAGAUUUAUUUAUUUGAAAGAGUUACACAGAGAGAGAAGGAGAGCAGAGAGAGAGAGAGAGAGGUCUUCCAUCUGCUGGUUCACUCCCCAGUUGGCUGCAAUGGCCAGAGCUGUGCUGAUCCAAAGCCAGGAACCAGGAGCUUCCUCCCAGUCUCCCAUGUGGGGGCAGGGGCCCAAGGACUUGGGCCAUCUUCUACUGCUUUCCUAGGUCACAGCAGAGAGCUGGAUCAGAAAUGGAGCAUCUAGGACACGAACCAGCACCCAUGUGGGAUGCCGGCACUGCAGGCAGCAGCUUUACCCACUACACCACAUCACUGGCUCCCCAAGUAUCUUUAAUAGCAACACAGGCAAUUUGUUGAAAAUGACAGAAUCUGUAUUUUGACACUGAAAUGAGAAUUCUACAUAACUCACUGUGUAUACAAUUAAGGAAAAUUACACAAAGAAUUACAAAUGAUGCAUAGUAGCUUCUGAUACCAAUUCUAAGUUUCUACCAAGAACGACAGAAACCUCUGCUCUGCUCUGGUUGCCUGCAGAGCUCCUUCAGCUCCCUCUGUCUCUUCAGAGGUCUUCUGCUCCUGUUUCUCUUCCUGUCCUCAAGUUGAUCUCUCUCUUCAGUCAGGGUCUUCUUUCCCUCUUAUGACAUGCUCCCCUCUCCACCAUUGCCCAUGUCAUACUUUAUCCUUCAUUUAAAAAAUAAUUUUUUCAUUUUAUUUGAAAGGCAGUAAGACAGAUAAAGAGUGAUAUUUCAUCUGCUGGUUCUUUCCCCAACUGCCCACAGCUGUUAGGAACCCAGAACUCCAUAUAGGUCUCCUACGUGAUGGCAGGGACACAAGCAGUUGAUCCAUCAUCUGCUGGCUCCCAGAGUGUGCAUUAGCAGGAAACUUUAUUGGAAGUAGAGCAGCUGGGACUCAAAGAGGCACUCUGACAUGGGAAGUGGGUGUCCCAAGCAGUGUCUUGACCACUGAGUCAAAUGCUGGUCCCUAUUCAUUUAUUCUUGAACUGGAGUCCUUAAGGAUGCUUGUAUCCCCUAAUUCUCUUUGCAGAAUGGCUGUCCCUGUUGUUGGUGGCCAUUACAUAAAGGUUCUGAAGCUUUCUAUUCUCAAAGGAUACUGAUUGCCACUCUGUUCCUCAGCACUACUGCUUUGUUUCCCACUCAUACUAUGGCAGUGGAAAGGGAUUUGCACAUGUUUGCAAAGGACUGUUUCUAGAUUGGGGCCUGGCUGCAAGCUAUUUCCCCCUUAAAUUAUUUAAAGACACAAGCAUUGUGUCUCACUUCAGUAAGAUAUCUACAGACAUGGCUUUAACUGCUUAACCACAUAACUCUCGAAAUUGCUAAGAGCCAUUCAUAUUUCCAUAGAUGUUGCAAGAAUCAGAAAGACACCUAAUCCACUAGGGAGCUAUGUGCAGUUAAUAUUUGUGAAAUCAACUACCCACCCCCAUUGUGGACUCCGUGUUUAUCCUUGAUAAUCCAUUAGCUCACACAUCUGCAGCUGGGGUAAGAGGUGCACUGAUUUUGCCCAAAUUUGGAAUGGUGCAUUUUUCACUAUUCCCCUCUUGGCCAUCACUAAUGCAAGGCAGGUUGUGUCUUACAGACUUCUGAAAAUAUUUGGGGGAUAUUAGGAGGUUUAUAGCACAAAACAGGAAGCAACUUCUAGUUGCGUGUCAGGAGUUCUUAUUAUUAAUAUUCUAUCUCCCACCCUCUAAACCAGAGAAAAUUUUCUCAGUAUGUUGGGGCUUGGCCUCCUAUCACAGUGUUCACUCCCCUCUCUUUCAUGUGGACUAUUUCAUCUCUCGUUUUCUUUUAAUUCCCAAGCUCUCAUUUCCUAUUAAAUACCCAAGAUUUCUAUUUUACUAUUAAACAGAACAGUUUAUCUUCAUUUUGCUGCAGCCCUCUUUUCCUAGACGGUGCCAAAGCCUUGUGUUUUAGAUUCCAAAGAGCAUUUAUCAGAGAUCCAUUUUUGACAAGAUUAAGCUGUCAGUGCAGAAUUGGUGAUUCACUAAAUAUAUAUAUUAUAGGUGUAGCUACCAAACAUUGACCCCAAGCAUUGAGUAGUGCAGCCUUUAGAGAGCGAUCCACCAAAGCUUCCAAAUUGGCUGUCAACAUUCAGACAUUCUACUUUCCCAUUCUUUCACUUUGUCAUCGUCUUUGUCUUCUUGUGAGACAGCCACUUUUGCAGACCUUCCCGUAUCGCUGGGGUUUGAAUCCACAGUCUCAGAUGUCUGACUUGUCUUGCUCUUGAUUAGCAGGUGCAGGGCCAAGUACUUCAUGCCAUUCUCCUCAGCACAGGCUACUGGUCAACAUCCACCUCCCCUGUGUCCGUUUCCUCUUACUCAUGGAAUGUGCAGAGAUAGAGGAGCAGCCCAAAGGGCACAGUACCCAGGCCUUCUCUAGGUUGGUUUUUCUGUCCUUUGACCUGCACUUUUUAGUAAGUGAUUACUUUAGCACACAGUGGGGUGUAAGUUGCCUCAUGGAAGUACUUCACCUCCUUCUUGAGGAAAUCCAGUUUGAUGUUUCCUGAUGAGAAGGAAGCCUCUGUCGUUCUGCCAAGUACUCUCACCCUGCUCUCCUUCAGAAAAGUCAUAUAUCAUCUGGCCUGGCCCGGUGCUGCUCAGCCUAAUGCUGUCGCUGCACUGUGAUUACCUGAACUGACCCUCCUGCCUGCCUUAGAUACAAUCGUUUCUCACGAGUAUAAUUCAUGGCCGUCACUGAGAGCUUGCAGGUGAUUCAUUUCCACUGUCUCCUGUGGCUCCUAAAUAAAACGCUUUAAGCAAAGAAUAGACAAAAGGGAAGACUGUGGACAGUGAUGAAUUCCUGCUUCACUCCCAGCUGACAUGUGGCCCUUGCAGACAAGGACCCUUGCAUUAAGAGCAAAGGGAUCACUCACACCAUUGUGUUUUUGUAAUAAAUUGCAACACUCACUAUAAUGUGAUUGAAACAUUUAUUAAGAAGGAUGCUAUUAAAAUGAAAAAUUCCCACUCAGUUCACUUACUAUUAUACUAACCUUUUUACGCUGUCUUGCUGAUUAGCCUGACGCCAAGCCCUGAGCCAGGAGACUGUUGACUGUCCCAGAUGCCUGACCCUAAUACCACAUUAAUGUACUUUACCUCCUCUGCAACUGAGCCCCAGAACUUGCCGCAGAGAGUGAUGGUCCAACCAGAAGUACAUCUCGAGGCUCUUUAAUGUGGGUUUCCCCUUUUGUUGGCUACUUCCAGGCACAAUGAAAAAACUACUCCAUUUUUCAGGGGAAGGAAAUACACAAAAGAAUUCUGGGCAUAGAUUUGGAGAUGAAGGGAGUAUGUUCUGGAAAAGGAAACUAAGAUGACUGGGGAAGAGAGAGGACUAAGGAGGCCUAACGGGCUGCACUUAAUGAGUGGCACAUGGACUGGCAAUAUCAACAUCACCUGGAAGCUUGUUAAGAAUUCAGAAUCUCUUGCCCUGUUCCAGAAUUUCUAAGCCAGAAUCCACAGGCAUAUGAUACCCAGGUGAUUUGCAUAAAAGUCUGGACAGAACUGUGAGUGAAGCAACUAAACUCCUAUGCAUAUACCCACAAGGGUGCUAUAUGUAACUCAUCUAAAGGAGUUAGCCGAAAAGCACCCUGUCUGGCACCUAGUAUAUGCUCAUGGAGGAAGAAAAGACAAGGAGAGGAUGUAAGAGAUGAGAUAGCGUCUGUUUUGCAUUACCCAGAGACCAACCUCCUGGACUGAGACUGAAAUAUCCUUCUUGAAUUGGCAAUAUUGGUCACCAAGAACAAACACUUGUGUCCAGGGCUAUGUGAACCCUCAGUCAAUGCAGAGGAGAUAAUGAUUGACUCUUUGCAUCGUUUAUUUAUUUUUUUUAGGACUUAUUUAUUUGAAAGUCAGAGCUACACAGAGAGAGGAGAGGCAGAGAGAGAGAGAAAGGAGAGGCAGAGAGAGAGAGAGGAGAGGCAGAGAGAGAGAGAGAGAGAGAGAGAGGUCUUCCAUCUGCUGGUUCACUCCCCAAUUGGUGGCAAUGGCCAGAGCUGUGCUGAUCCAAAGCCAGGAGCCAGGAGCUUCUCUGGGUCUCCCAUGUGGGUGCAGGGGCCCAAGGACAUGGGCCAUCUUCUGCUGCUUUCCCAGGCCAUAGUUGAGAGCUGGAUCAAAAGUGGAGCAGCCACGUCUCAAACCGGUGCUCAUAUGGGAUGCCAGCACUUCAGAGCGUUAACCCACUGUACCACAGCACUGGCCCCUGUAUCCUUUCUGUUCCCUGCCGGUUGCAUGGCAGCAGAGGUAUUUCGGGAUGUAACUCCAGCUUCUGUGUUAAAUCUGAUUGAUCUAAUUCAGUGGCUUCCAAAAGGCAGUCUUGGGACCAGACACAUCAAUAUCAUUUAUAAAAUUUUUAGAAAUGCAAAUUUUCCAUGCUCAAUGCAGACUGCUGAGUCAGAAAUUUGGGGGGCCAAGUUCUCUAGUAGAUACUAAGGAACACACAAAUCUGAGAACCAAUGGUCUCACACAAUAGACCACUGAGUUCUGUUGGACUAAUGGGAAUUUGUUCAGAAACUCAGACCCAAGCCGCUCGAUGACAGUGGGAUUGGUUCAGGAAUGCAUAUGGAAUCUAAAUAUGGGCCAAAGAGACUUGAAUAGAAAGUUCUUUGGGUUUUCUGAGGAAAGCUUUGCCACUUUAUACAGAGCCUUAGGAAAGACACUUUCUCUCCCUCUAGAUGAUGCUGUGGACCCAUAUAAAUCCACUACUGCUGCUGCUGUCUUGUCAAUAGCCUGGAGGAAUCUGGCACAGGGGUGAGGACAGAGGAAAGGCGAUCACAGGAAAAUGGCAUGGGAGCCCACCUACUUCUAGACUAUACUUAUGAAAGCCAUUCUACUUCUUUCUUUGCAUUAGUCAGAUCAAGUUGCCUGUUAUUUGUAGCUUAAAGCAUUUAACUGACAUAGCUUUGAUGUAGAGAAUAAGAUUCAUUGGCCUAGUUUUGCUGACAGUUUCAACACUCUUCAAACACAAAGGUGACAUUGAAACUAUUUCAUAGCUGGUAUAGUCCAGGCACAAUUUGAAGUGAUGAUGGCGGGAUAUUUCAUUAUUCAUUUAGGAGGACUUACCAAAGUAAAAAUCUUCCUUCUGAUCACCCAUGUAGCAAUGAUAGCACUUUUAUAAAAUUCCAUCAGGGAAGAGCCUGAUUGUUUUUUAAUUCCAGUGGGCCAUUUUUGUUCUUCUGAAAUCCUAAUGGCUGACUGUCAAUCAAAGGGACACUUAUAUGACUGAGACUUCCUUUCAACUCUUAAGUCAGCAUUUUUAUUUUACUGUCUACAUUUUCUACACAGAAAAAAGGAAUAGCUUGCAGUUAUAUUGUAAUAAAUCAUAAAAUAAUUCCUUUAAUUCUCCUCCUCUCUUUCCUUCUCAAAUAUUCAAAUUUAAUAAAGUUUUGAUAAAGAAAAACUAUGGAAUAAAAUUAUUUUUUAAAGAUUUAUUAAGAUCAAAUACUUUAAUUUAUACCAGAACAACAUUAAUGUAAGUUAUUG